rnacentral:rRNA from 1 species
AUGCCCAAUGGGGCACAAGCUUCGACUGAGGAGGGCGAGGCGAGCGGGGGCGAGAGUCAGGAAGAGGAGGUAUGGGACUCGGAUGUUGCAGAGGAUGAUGACGACGAUGAUGAUGAUGACGGUGAUGAAGACGACGUCGAGGACGACGAAGAAGAGGAGGAGGAGGUUGUACCACCGCGCUCAGAAAGGCGGUCAAAGCUUGUCCACGAUCCUUCGACCGAACGUGGUAAGGGGGUUGCGACCGCCACUCAGUCGACCAAGCGCCCUCGGACCACCUCUCCGGUGCCGACUGAAAAGGCGCCGAAGCAGCCCAGGGCGGCCUCGUCGAAGCCGAUCAAGCUCUUGCCGAAGAUGAAGGUGUCCAUCCCCACCAUAUCAGGUGCUGCUACUUCUGAGACCUCGGCCCGGGCCGAUGACCACGAGAUGGAGGAUGCGGCAACUUCGAACCCAGCUCCGCCCAAUACUGUUAUCAAUCUUCCUGACGACGACGAGGAUGAAGAACCACUGGCACGCAGGAAGAGUCGGAAAACGCCCGCCAGUAAGGUGCCUCAGGAUGUGACGACGCCUGAGACUCUGACUGUGGAGGAAGAGAACACCACUCGACACACGGUGUCCUUCGCAAAUCCACUGACGAGUGCUCAGCAGCCCUCCCUCUUCACGACUCACCACGUCCCAGAGGACCAAGCUGGUGCAGCGAAGGAAGCAAUACGCCAGGCGGGACUCAUGAUGGAGCAGCUGAAGACCAUCCGGGACGCGAGCCAGGCAGCUUAUGACGCCAGCUCUGCCCUCCAAAGCAAUGUCCAGAACUCUUGUGAUCUUGUGGCUCGCUACUCAGAGCUGGAACAAAAACAUACUCAAGUCGAGCUGAGCUUGAAGCUGGUUCAGGAGAAAUUGACAAAGGCAAAGGAGGAGACCGAAGGUAAGGUAAGGGAGGCCCAGCAGAAGAAAGACCUUGAGCUAGCUGAGAAGAUCAAGCUUGCUGACGAGAAGUUAGCUUCAGUCACCAAGCUCGAACAAGACAAUACCAAUCUGAAAGCUGCUCUUGGGAUUGCCAACAAGGAAGUCAGUCGACUGAAAACUGAUAAAGCUGCCCUGACCGACCAAGUCAGCAAAUUGACUGAGAAGAAAACUGCACUGGAGGCCUUCCUGAGUGGCCUUGCCAAGAAGCUGUUUCUUAUGCUUGAAGGUAAACCUCCAUGUUUGGCAAAUAUUUCCAAUUGUGGUUUUUCCAUUCGACUAUCCCCUUGA